rnacentral:rRNA from 1 species
GGAUUAGAUACCCUGGUAGUCCACGCCGUAAACAAUGGACACUUGGUGUUGGAGGUAUUGACCCCUUCAGUGCCGUAGCUAACGCGUUAAGUGUCCCGCCUGGGGAGUACGGUCGCAAGAUUAAAACUCAAAGAAAUUGACGGGGGCCCGCACAAGCGGUGGAGCAUGUGGUUUAAUUCGAUGCAACGCGAAAUACCUUACCUGGGUUUGAAUUGCAACGGACAACUCUAGAGAUAGAGUCUUUCUUCGGAACUGUUGUGAAGGUGCUGCAUGGCUGUCGUCAGCUCGUGCUG